UGUUUGUGCUGAUAAUGCAGUUACUGAAAAAAGAUUAUACUGACCAACACCGUAUCAUAUUUAAUGAUAAAUAUUCACCACAUACUGAAAAUGUACAGUACACUAAAAAAUGUAUUGUAUAUCUUACAUUGUAAUUUAAAAAUUGUCUGCAAGGAUGCAAUCUGAAAACAGAGUCCAGUGGUGGAAAGGGUAUUAACUGAGUAUGAAGAAAAAAACAACACCUCUAUAAGUAGCAAGUUACAUUCGCAUGUGUCCAGGUCCAUAUUCAGGUUUGUUAGAGUGUACUCGACACUAGUUUGAACAGUAAAGGCUCAACAAAUACAACACAGUUUAACACGGCAACUAAUGAAAGAAACAAACACAGAAAAUUCACAAAUAGAUGAAUAUGGACUCCACAAAAGCAUCCCUGACUACAAAUUCCGCUUCAUAUCGACUGGCUACAUGAUUGGUGUAUUAGUUAGCUUGCAAUGGUGUAAUUAUAGAUAAUACUGUAUGUCUAUGUAAGUGAUCAUACAACAAAUUUAUUCCACAAUAAACACAAAAAGUCUAACUUUGUUUUGGUUUUGGCACAAAAACACCUUUCGGUUCACAGACCUUGUAAAACCAAGAUGGCACAUCAGCAGUCCCCUGAGGCAAAGCUGAGCUUUUAGAGCUCCUCCUGCUGGCUGCAGUUCAGCUCUUACUCCAUUAUACCUGAAUGAACAUGGCUCUAACUAGAAGGCUGAGAUGUGUCUCAAGAAAACAUGUCCUCCGUCACAGCAGUUAUUCCGUGUAGUGACUGAAGUCUUCAACCAUAAUUGUUUUGUGUUACGUCAAGAUCAUCCGUGAUUAAACUAUAGGAAUGAAAAUCCUCACAAGACAUCUUUUAGCUGUAGUUUUCACGUCGCGUAUUUUCCGUUUCAUAUGUAUCAGAUUCACAAUAAUCAAUUCUCAAGAACAACUGUCAAAAAUGUUUAGCACCAAGAGUAUAUACUACAUAUUUUUCCAUCUUGUACAAAAUUUGGUGUGUAUAACUUCUGGUAAAAACAAAGGGCCAGGUUGGUUUGGUCCGGAGACUUCCCUCUCUGCAGGAAGUUUGGAUAAUUUAUAAGUCAGAUGCUCACAGUUGAAUAUUGAGGGGAAUUGAACACUGUUUAGCCAGUUAAAAAACAAAAUGAAUGCUCAACGGAUAUACCGAGUACCUCAGCACAACUUUUUCACCCAUGUAACAUGCCCAGACUUUAGAGUUGCAUUUCAUUUUGACAAGAAUUUGUGUAAAAUGUUUGUAGAAUAAUUUAAAUUGUUUAAAAUACAGAACGUGACAUCCUGGAGUACAAUACAGGUCUUUAAAACUGUAAUAAAAGCUCACACUGACACAAAAAGCUGAACUUGUCAUCCAGCGCAUUGUUUAACUACUUUACUCUGCCAUCCCACAAAUACACACAGACACACACUCACAUAGUACCUGUACUAUAUGUGCAUCUCCGUGUCAUGUUCCUGUCGUACAUCCCAAGAACAGGUCCUGCUCCCGCUGGUGCCAAACGACUUUCUUCCCUUUCUCUCCGCUGUACUCUCACAACUGGCAAAGCUCUCUUCCCUUUCUCCGGCCAAAUAGUCCAUCUGCAGAGUCAGAGGGAGGGAAAAUGAGAGGUAAAAGAAAAAAAAGAGAAAAUAGGAGGAAAACAAAUGGAUAAGAAUGAGGAAUAAAGGAAAAAGAGAAACAGAUUGCUUUGAUAAUGUGCACUGUCAGGAGCUGCAUUCUUGGUGAGCUAUUGUUGGCAGAGUAAAAAUCACAGAGUUAAACUAAUUUGAUUUCACCUUCCCACAGACCAGAAGUUUCUUUUUCUUUUUAUUUGUCUGCAUUUCAACUUUUCUAGCUAUGGUUGUUCAAAGUUAUUCAAAACAUCUCUAAUUCACAGCCAUUAAGGGAAACAGAAGUAUAAAGGAUAAGCUUUUGGUUUUGUGUAAGACAAUGUAGCAGUAAUCAGGAAGCCAAGGCUUUUUCACAGUUAACACAGACUCGUCCUGUCUCACUUUUGUAUAGGGUGGCAACAUGCUGAUAAUAUGCAAAGAAAGCAUGAUUUGACAGACCCUUUUAGCAGCAUUUGUAAAGUUAUUUAAAAACAGAGCUGAGUCCAUAAAACCAAGGUGUUAAAAAUGCAGCUGUAACCUUUUCAUAAUGUCCCCAACCUUGACAACAUAAAGGUUAAAGCAGAGAGGAGCUCAGCUAGAUACCCUGAAGAAUUUAGCAGCUUCCACAAAAAAAACGAGCUGACCCAGCAACUUGGAUCCGGAUCUACAGCUGAAGGACACACCCUGCUGUCCAGUAGGUACAUUACUCAUCUGCCAUCGUCACCUUUGAAUAAACACAUCCUUUCCUUAAAAUAGAAAACACAAACCCGGUGUUACAGCUCAAGCUCUUAUUAUAGUCACUGCAAAUUUCAAGGCUGAUGUACACAUAAAAAAGGAGACACACCAGGUGCACCAAAGUCAUUCUUCUCAUAUAUGCUUUCCUUGUCACCACUGUGGCAAAUAGCUACAUUAGCCAAAUAUACGCAUUGCAGCAUUAGUAUGGAUAGUUGAAGAGGAAAUGCAAACAUAAUGUCUCUAAAAACAGUGCAGUGGCUAAGACACAUACUUGCCUUCAGUCAACAGAUGUUGCUAACUUGGUAGACUGCUAAACAAUGACGCAUUAGCUCAAGCAUUAGCCGUUACCUGUCGUUUCUCUCGUUUACAACUGUUUUCACUUCAUUCAGUUAAAUUUUUAAGGUGUAUGUAUGAGUUUGGCGUCUUUUAAAAUACACUACACAAAACAGGAGUGUACUACCGCAGUAAGUGAAGCUGGUUCUUCUACUAGCAUAAACCCCAAUAGCGAAUACUUCCGCCUUGAGUUCGCGCUCAAACCGCUUUCGCACUUUGCGCAUGCGCAGACCAACGACCGCCCUUUUUUUACUGUAAAAAAGUGAUGCCCAAUUGUCCUGAA
rnacentral:lncRNA from 1 species